rnacentral:rRNA from 1 species
AUGGCAAGGUUCUCAGAGCUUAGAGCGCCAUGUCUUCUGCUACUCCUUGUGUUUCUUCUCCAAUCAUCUCUGCGAUUGCAGCUGUCGCAAGGGCUCGAGCAGAGCCAACAAAGACGGGUAUACAUCGUCUACCUUGGGGAGAGGCAACAGGAAGAUGAGGCGGCUCUCGAAUCGAUUGUCCACAGCUACAGAUAUGGUUUCUCGGGCUUUUCUGCAAUGCUUACCGAAUCACAAGCGAGAAAGAUCCAGAAGUUGCCUGGAGUGGUGAGUGUGAAAGAGAACACAAUGGUACGCAUGCAUACUACUCGGAGCUGGGAUUUCCUUGGGCUGUCCAUGGGCGUGGACAUCAAGCAGGAGCAGCAGCCAAAUGAGCUCCUUGCAGCAGCAAACCAUGGAGAUGGGAUGAUUAUCGGUGUCAUCGACUCAGGUGUUUGGCCUGAGUCACAGAGCUUCGCUGAUGAUGGCUAUGGACCUCCCCCUUCAAAAUGGAAGGGAACUUGCCAAACCGGUGCCAACUUCAGUGCCCACGAUUGCAAUCGAAAGCUCAUCGGUGCGCGGUGGUAUGCUGGCGCUGACAUCGACAGGAGAUUUCUCCAAGGUGACUUCCUGUCUGCCAGGGAUUCUCAUGGCCACGGCACCCACACAGCCUCCACAGCCGGUGGCAACGUCGUCCACAACACCAGCUUCUUCGGACUGGCUGCUGGAACGGCUCGUGGUGGCGCACCUCGCGCCCGGAUAGCAGUGUACAAGGCUUGCUGGGGUACUUGCUCUACCGCGAGCGUUCUGAAAGGCAUCGAUCAUGCUAUCCAUGACGGUGUUGACGUCCUAUCACUCUCUCUCGGAAGCACGGACGAAAUGGCAGCAUUAGGAACGCUGGGUGCUGUGGCAAGAGGCGUCCCGGUCAUCAUGGCAGCUGGAAAUGAUGGACCUACGGAGCAAACGGUGCAGAAUUCUUCACCAUGGCUACUCACGGUUGCUGCAACCACGGUUGAUCGAUCAUUCCUCAUGGUUAUCACCCUCGGGGAUAACCGACAGUUUGUGGCACAAUCCAUGUAUGUGGCUGAUAAAGGUGGAGAUGAGUUCUCUCAACUUCUGUAUUACUUUAAUGAUAGGUGUGACCCGGACUACAUAAACAGCACUGACAUACACGGGAAGGUGGUAUUCUGCUACACACCAGGACCAGGUAGUGUCUCUCCACCACCCAAGUAUGCAGAUAUUGCAGCGACGGUGCGGAGAAAUGGAGGGAAGGGAUUUAUAUUCUCACAGAAUAAUCUGGACUCUCUUGAUCUAUAUGCAAUUAAAGGACCAGCCCUUCCUUGCGUUCCUCUCGACUUCAAGACUAGCUAUCAGAUUGCUGUGUACUGCAAUCGCAUUGGCAUCCCAAAAAUAAAGAUAUCAACAACCCGAACAACCAGCGGAAGUGAAAUUGCUGCCCCAAGAAUAGCAGCUUUCUCAUCAAGGGGGCCUAGUCCUAUCUAUCCUGGGGUUCUCAAGCCUGAUAUUGCUGCACCUGGGGUGUACAUUUUAGCCGCUGCAGCACAAAGUGGUGAUUACAAAAGUCUAGGUGUUUCCUACGUCUUUGAUUCUGGAACAUCCAUGGCCUGCCCUCAUAUAUCUGGGAUAGUCGCUCUACUCAAAUCCGUGCAUCCUGACUGGUCCCCUGCCGCCCUAAAAUCAGCACUAAUGACAACCGCACAUACCAUGGACAGUCAUGGGGUUCCAAUAGAAGCAAAUGGAAAUCGUGCAAAGAUCGCCGACCCAUUUGAUUACGGAGCAGGGUCUGUUAAUCCAACCAAGGCAGCUGAUCCAGGCCUGAUAUAUGACAUCAGUGCGUCAGAUUACCUUGAAUUUUUCAACUGUCCAAAAGGAUUUGUUUCAAAUAACAAUUGCACACCACCUGACUUGAACCUCCCAUCGAUUGCCAUUCCUGGCCUCAAGACAUCUGUGACGGUUGUGCGCACUGUUACCAAUGUUGGCCAGCCGAAUGCGGUGUACAAGGCAUUCUUGGAGCCUCCACCUGGAGUCAAGAUGGCUGUGGAGCCAGCAGUGCUGGUGUUCAGCAAUGCAAGGAGGAUGCAGAGUUUCAAGGUUAUUUUCAGGGCCACCCGAAGGAUCCAGGGCAGCUACACCUUCGGUAGCUUGGCAUGGCAUGAUGGAGGCGCCCACCUGGUUCGGAUCCCGAUUGCAGUUCGUGUGGUGAUUGAAGAGCUCUACUCAGAUGCCUCUUAA